rnacentral:rRNA from 1 species
UGGGGAAUAUUGCACAAUGGGCGCAAGCCUGAUGCAGCAACGCCGCGUGAGGGACGACGGCCUCGGGUUGUAAACCUCUUUUAGUAGGGAAGAAGCGAAAGUGACGGUACCUGCAGAAAAAGCACCGGCUAACUACGUGCCAGCAGGCCGCGGUAAUACGUAGGGUGCGAGCGUUGUCCGGAAUUAUUGGGCGUAAAAGAGCUCGUAGGCGGUCUGUCGCGUCUGCUGUGAAAACCCCGAGGCUCAACCUCGGGCCUGCAGUGGGUACGGGCAGACUAGAGUGCGGUAGGGGAGAAUGGAAUUCCUGGUGUAGCGGUGGAAUGCGCAGAUAUCAGGAGGAACACCGAUGGCGAAGGCAGUUCUCUGGGCCGUAACUGACGCUGAGGAGCGAAAAGCGUGGGGAGCGAAACAGGAUUAGAUACCCUGGUAGUCCACGCCGUAAAACGUUGGGCGCUAGAUGUGGGGA